UUUUUUUUAUCGUUUAUCUAAGUUGAGCCGCUUUCUUGCGUUGGCCCUCCUUCCCAGUCCGAGAUCGAGCCGUUUUGACCCACCGGCCUCCUUCGGCGAUCAGCGUUUCGCUCCUCGCCGACGAUGUCGGGUCACCAGCCGGCUGGGUCACCAACCCACCACUCCCUGGCCUUUCGCGUGAUGCGGCUCUGCCGCCCGUCGUUCCAGGCGGAGGACGCCAUCCUCCGCCUCGACCCCUCUGACCUCCUCGCCGGGGAGGACCUCUUCGACGACCCCCGCGUCUCUUCCCACCUCCUCGACCGCUUCUCCACCAGUGGCGGCGGAGACUUCAGCUUCCGCAAUCGGUUCCAGCUCCAGAACCCGAUCGACGCCAUGGCCCUCACCGGCAACCUAAUCCUCCCCCAGUCCUUCGGAGCUAUAUACUUGGGGGAGACAUUCUGUAGCUAUAUCAGCAUCAACAACAGUUCCAACUUUGAAGCAAGGGAUGUGGUCAUCAAGGCAGAAAUUCAGACAGAAAGGCAAAGGAUACUGCUGCUGGAUACAUCAAAAUCACCUGUUGAGUCCAUACGGUCAGGGGGCAGAUAUGAUUUUAUAGUAGAACAUGAUGUUAAAGAAUUGGGGCCUCACACGCUUGUUUGCACUGCUUUGUACAAUGAUGGGGACAGUGAGCGCAAAUAUCUUCCGCAGUUUUUUAAGUUUGUUGUUGCAAACCCACUUUCAGUUAGAACAAAGGUUCGCACUGUCAAGGAGAAUACAUUUUUGGAGGCAUGCAUAGAGAACCACACAAAGUCCAAUCUUUAUAUGGAUCAAGUUGAUUUUGAACCUGCACGACAUUGGACUGCAAUGAGAUUGGAAGCUGAUGAACACACCUUAGAAAUUAACUCUCAGGCGAGUUACGUGGACAGGGGAAUAUUUAGGUCACCUGUCCUCAUCAGAGCUGGGGGAGGAAUUUACAAUUAUCUAUAUCAACUAAGGCUGUCAUCGCAAGAGGCUGGGCAUGCAAAGGUUGAUAGAGGCAAUAUUCUUGGUAAACUUCAGAUAACAUGGCGUACAAAUUUGGGUGAACCUGGACGCCUGCAGACCCAGCAGAUUCAUGGCACCCCCAUUGCACGCAAGGACAUUGACGUGCAGGUUGUUGAAGUUCCCUCUGUUAUCAUUCUGGAGAGACCCUUUCUGGUGCAUCUUUGUCUCACAAGCCAGACAGAUAGAACUGUGGGCCCUUUUGAAAUCUGGAUAUCUAGAAGCAUUACCAGUGAGGAGAAGGUUGUUAUGAUUAAUGGAAUUCAGAAGUUGAAUCAGAUGAAGCAACUGGCUUUUGGUUGUCCCUGCAAGAGAAGUUCAAUGAUUCAGCUGGAUCUUGAAAUUGGUUCUACCACCAGUGGAGGCUUUCGGCUCUGCCAACUUUAGCCUGAAUCUGAUUGCUACUAGGCUGGGGGUUCAGAAAAUCUCAGGAAUUACGGUAUUUGAUGCUUAUCAAAAGAAAUUGUAUGACCCAUUACCAGAGAUGGAGAUUUUUGUUGAUACAGCCUGAGUUUUGGGUGUCCUGCUACUGGGGGGCGCUAUGAUAAUAGAAUUCACCGUGACAGCUUCAGGCCUGUAGUUCAUUUGCGCCAUGUAAUUCCUCUGUUAUUUUCCACUACAUUCUUAUGUUGAACUUCUUCAAGUGUACAUACAGCUACGCUUAUUAUUUAUUCAUGAGUUAAUGUAAACCUUACAAAUGUGGUUACCAUCCAGGAACCGAAUGCUAGGAUCUAUCAUUGUUGUCCGCACUCUGUAUCUUAAUUGCAAAUUCAAUUAUUUUUAUGUUC